CCCCCUCUCUGUACACAUUUUCAUUUUCUUGUACAGCUUCUCUCUCACUGUGAAAUUCCGUUACCGCCUUUUCGUUACAUCUCUUCUCCUUGGUUUCUCAGCUUUGAAUUCGUUCGACGAUCUGCGUUUUGAUUAUGGAUUCGAGUGUUUUCGUUGAGCGAUUCGCUUCCGAUCUUCGAUUCAGAGAUAUGUGGUUCAAGACUCAUCCUUUCUUCGGUCAUGGGUGAAUUGACUGGAAAUCGAAAGAUCCAUCGAGACUCUUGAUGUUUGUUCUGAACCAUUGGUGCUCGGGCUUUGUACGUCUGGUUCGAUGCGAAACCUUGCUGUCUUUCUGAAAUUCUUGAGAUCUAAAACGCUUGGUUAGAUCGGUGCAAUCAAUUCAGAUCUCGUGAUUCUUUAUGGAUUCAGAUCGGAUUUUGAUAUGACGCUGUGAAGGAUUGCUAAAGUGUUUCUUUAUGCUUUUUUUGAUGGGCUUUCUUUUGUCAUCUUCUUGGUAUAACAAAGAAGAUAGUUUGUGUGUGUGUGUCUUCGGUGUAUACCAGAGAGGUAUAGCCUAGGGUAACAAAAAAAAUGUGAGAUGUGUAAUGUUCUACUGGUUGUCAAUCGACCUUUGCCAUGUCAGGUGCGCUUGCUUGGCAGGU